rnacentral:rRNA from 1 species
UGCCAGCCGCCGCGGUAAUACGGAGGGGGCGAGCGUUGUUCGGAAUUACUGGGCGUAAAGGGCGCGUAGGCGGGAUGUCUAGUCAGGGGUGAAAGUCCUGGGCUCAACCUGGGGACUGCCCUUGAAACUGACAUUCUUGAGACCGGGAGAGGAUGGCGGAAUUCCCAGUGUAGAGGUGAAAUUCGUAGAUAUUGGGAAGAACACCAGUGGCGAAGGCGGCUAACUGGCUCGGUACUGACGCUGAGAUGCGAAAGCGUGGGGAGCAAACAGGAUUAGAUA